UACGGGGGGGGUAAGCGUUGUUCGGAAUUACUGGGCGUAAAGGGCUCGUAGGCGGCCAACUAAGUCAGACGUGAAAUCCCUCAGCUUAACUGGGGAACUGCGUCUGAUACUGGAUGGCUUGGGUCCGGGAGAGGGAUGCGGAAUUCCAGGUGUAGCGGUGAAAUGCGUAGAUAUCUGGAGGGACACCGGUGGCGAAGGCGGCAUCCUGGACCGGUAUUGACGCUGAGGCGCGAAAGCCAGGGGAGCAAACGGG
rnacentral:rRNA from 1 species